AUUGAACGCUGGCGGCAGGCCUAACACAUGCAAGUCGAACGAGUGGCGGACGGGUGAGUAAGGGAUGGGAAAGUGCCUGAUGGACGGGGCUAACGACUGGAAACGGUAGCUAAAACCGCAAACCACCCGUUCGGCUCAGAUGGGAUUAGCUUGUUGGUGGGGUAACGGCUCACCAAGGCGACGAUGCCUAGCUGGUCUGAGAGGAUGACCGGCCACACUGGAACUGAGACACGGUCCAGACUCCUACGGGAGGCAGCAGUGGGGAAUCUUGCACAAUGGGCGAAAGCCUGAUGCAGCAACGCCGCGUGUAUGAAGAAGGCCUUCGGGUUGUAAAGUACUUUCGGUGGGGAGGCGUUAUCCACAGAAGAAGCCCCGGCUAACUCCGUGCCAGCAGCCGCGGUAAUAC
rnacentral:rRNA from 1 species